rnacentral:rRNA from 1 species
GAACGGGUGAGUAACACGUGAGCAACCUGCCCCUGACUCUGGGAUAAGCGCUGGAAACGGCGUCUAAUACUGGAUAUGUGACGUGAUCGCAUGGUCUGCGUCUGGAAAGAAUUUCUAUUGGGGAUGGGCUCGCGGCCUAUCAGCUUGUUGGUGAGGUAAUGGCUCACCAAGGCGUCGACGGGUAGCCGGCCUGAGAGGGUGACCGGCCACACUGGGACUGAGACACGGCCCAGACUCCUACGGGAGGCAGCAGUGGGGAAUAUUGCACAAUGGGCGCAAGCCUGAUGCAGCAACGCCGCGUGAGGGACGACGGCCUUCGGGUUGUAAACCUCUUUUAGCAGGGAAGAAGCGAAAGUGACGGUACCUGCAGAAAAAGCGCCGGCUAACUACGUGCCAGCAGCCGCGGUAAUACGUAGGGCGCAAGCGUUAUCCGGAAUUAUUGGGCGUAAAGAGCUCGUAGGCGGUUUGUCGCGUCUGCUGUGAAAUCCGGAGGCUCAACCUCCGGCCUGCAGUGGGUACGGGCAGACUAGAGUGCGGUAGGGGAGAUUGGAAUUCCUGGUGUAGCGGUGGAAUGCGCAGAUAUCAGGAGGAACACCGAUGGCGAAGGCAGAUCUCUGGGCCGUAACUGACGCUGAGGAGCGAAAGGGUGGGGAGCAAACAGGCUUAGAUACCCUGGUAGUCCACCCCGUAAACGUUGGGAACUAGUUGUGGGGUCCAUUCCACGGAUUCCGUGACGCAGCUAACGCAUUAAGUUCCCCGCCUGGGGAGUACGGCCGCAAGGCUAAAACUCAAAGGAAUUGACGGGGACCCGCACAAGCGGCGGAGCAUGCGGAUUAAUUCGAUGCAACGCGAAGAACCUUACCAAGGCUUGACAUAUACGAGAACGGGCCAGAAAUGGUCAACUCUUUGGACACUCGUAAACAGGUGGUGCAUGGUUGUCGUCAGCUCGUGUCGUGAGAUGUUGGGUUAAGUCCCGCAACGAGCGCAACCCUCGUUCUAUGUUGCCAGCACGUAAUGGUGGGAACUCAUGGGAUACUGCCGGGGUCAACUCGGAGGAAGGUGGGGAUGACGUCAAAUCAUCAUGCCCCUUAUGUCUUGGGCUUCACGCAUGCUACAAUGGCCGGUACAAAGGGCUGCAAUACCGUGAGGUGGAGCGAAUCCCAAAAAGCCGGUCCCAGUUCGGAUUGAGGUCUGCAACUCGACCUCAUGAAGUCGGAGUCGCUAGUAAUCGCAGAUCAGCAACGCUGCGGUGAAUACGUUCCCGGGUCUUGUACACACCGCCCGUCAAGUCAUGAAAGUCGGUAACACC